rnacentral:rRNA from 1 species
CGCUGGCGGCAGGCCUAACACAUGCAAGUCGAGCGGUAGCACAGAGAGCUUGCUCUCGGGUGACGAGCGGCGGACGGGUGAGUAAUGUCUGGGAAACUGCCUGAUGGAGGGGGAUAACUACUGGAAACGGUAGCUAAUACCGCAUAACGUCGCAAGACCAAAGAGGGGGACCUUCGGGCCUCUUGCCAUCAGAUGUGCCCAGAUGGGAUUAGCUAGUAGGUGGGGUAACGGCUCACCUAGGCGACGAUCCCUAGCUGGUCUGAGAGGAUGACCAGCCACACUGGAACUGAGACACGGUCCAGACUCCUACGGGAGGCAGCAGUGGGGAAUAUUGCACAAUGGGCGCAAGCCUGAUGCAGCCAUGCCGCGUGUAUGAAGAAGGCCUUCGGGUUGUAAAGUACUUUCAGCGAGGAGGAAGGCAUUGUGGUUAAUAACCGCAGUGAUUGACGUUACUCGCAGAAGAAGCACCGGCU